GAUCGCAUGGCGCAGUGGAUAGCGCUGAUGUUUUCCAAUUUUUCAGUGCGGGUUCAAUUCCCGCCAGUGACG